UACGUAGGGGGCAAGCGUUGUCCGGAUUUACUGGGCGUAAAGGGCGCGUAGGCGGCAAUUCAAGUCAUCUGUGAAAUCUCCGGGCUUAACCCGGAAAGGUCAGAUGAUACUGCUUGCUAGAGUGCGGAAGGGGCAAUCGGAAUUCUUGGUGUAGCGGUGAAAUGCGUAGAUAUCAGGAGGAACACCUGCGGUGUAGACGGCUUUCUGGACCAUUGCUGACGCUGAGACACGAAAGCGUGGGUAGCAAACAGG
rnacentral:rRNA from 1 species